rnacentral:rRNA from 1 species
UACGAAGGGAGCUAGCGUUGUUCGGAAUUACUGGGCGUAAAGGGCGUGUAGGCGGUCUUAUAAGUCAGAUGUGAAAGCCCCAGGCUUAACCUGGGAGGUGCAUUUGAGACUGUAAGACUAGAGAUCGAGAGAGGAAAGUGGAAUUACGAGUGUAGAGGUGAAAUUCGUAGAUAUUCGGAAGAACACCAGUGGCGAAGGCGACUCACUGGCCCGUUACUGACGCUGAGGCGCGAAAGCGUGGGGAGCAAACAGG